AUAUAUGACAACCAGUGCAGUGAAAAGGGCUCCUCGAUUGUACGGAUAAAAUACCCCGACCAGUGCAAGAACAAAAAUGAAAAUUGUAAGUGUAAAUAGUUGAGUUCCGGAACCGAGACAGGCUGCAAAUAAUGAAUUGUUCUUUGGGUACCUGAAGACGUCACCAUGAAUAUAUUUCCAGCCAGUCUCUUCUUGGUCAUCAACUGCCUCUUCAUCAUGAGCAUAUUUGACAAAAUCAUUCUUCAGCACCCGCAUAAGAAUAGUGGCAAGGAACCCCGUCAACAAGAGCACCGUGACACAUGAGUUUAUAAUCGAGAACCAGUGGAUCUCCAAAUGA
rnacentral:misc_RNA from 1 species